AGAGUUAAUCGGAUAGUUACUCUUAAUCCGCUGUAUGUGAAAUUGAGAGAGGAAAGUCCGAGCACCGCAGGAUAGGAUGCCUCCUAACAGGAGGAGUUGCAAAUUGCAAUAUGGAAAGUGCAACAGAAAAUAUACCGCUUCGUUUUUUUCGAAGUAAGGGUGAAAAGGUAGUUUAAGAGACUACCAGGUUUUGUUGUGAGACAAGAUGCUUGUAAACCCCAUUUGGUGCAAGAUCAAGUAUACCUCAAGAUAUUGUCCGUAUCAUUUGAGAGGAGGGUUGAUCGCGUAAUCUACUUAGAAAUAUUUAGAUAAGAUGAAUGACUAUCAAUUACAGAACUCGGCUUAUAGAUUGACUCUUUUU
rnacentral:RNase_P_RNA from 1 species